UGGCUAUAAACCCCGUCGUGUGCGACCCUCUCCUCGAGCCCUUCUUUAAGUGCAUCGGCCAGCGCAACGGAUACUACACCAGCGAAGGAAAGUUUGACUUGGAAGGCUUCAAAGGGAACUUCUUGCAGCACCAAUGCGACCCUGACCCAACGUUCGAUGCCGCCACGAAAGAGUGUAAACCACCACCUGAGGGACGCUACAACAUCAUUUUCUACUACCUCUGCCUGCGCAGUAAGGUUAUACCUGAAUAAGCAAGGUUGUAACGAUGAUGGUUGUGGUAACCAACGAUGGUUUUAACAACGAUGGUUAAACUAUUCCCGGUAUGACAAUGAUUAAAAAUGACUACAACAAUGAUGACAACGAUGAUUGUAAGAAUGGCUACAAUAAUGAUUAUGACAAUGGCUACAACGAUGAUUAUAAAAAGUCCUGAUUUGGGCAGCAACUAUACAAGCUAAGGCAAGAGUUAGCAAACCGUAUUCAAUUUCUAGAUCAACUAUUUUCGAGGUUUUUUCUACAUCAUUUGUGGUUUUUAAUAUUCAUAAGAUUUCUGUUGUCUUUCCUAUAGCGUUGUUUAUUGUUCGAAAUGUUUUCCGUGUAAUGGAAGAUUAUAAUUUUCAAUGGCAAUAAAGAUUGUCCUCAGUCAACAAUAUACAUCUUGGUUUUAAUUUUGUCAUGUAAAGUUUUCUCUAACAUCACUGUAACACAACUUGAAUUUAUCCAAGUUAUAUUAAUUAACUCAUAGAUUCGGAAUUUCGUUCCAUUAUCACAGUAUAAAAGAGAUUAAUGAUCGUUCACAAUAGCAAAAAUUGCAUGACUUUAAUUUUAUAUUGAAGAUAAGAUCUGUAAAACUGGGGACAAUAUACGGACAUAUAUAGUAGCAAUAGUUGCCUGCAGCAGCAUUCUCAACGUUAACUUAGGAAUCCGCAUAAAUGUUUUAGAGUUCGAAUUAAUAAAUUG